rnacentral:ncRNA from 1 species
CAACCUCAACUCAUAUGGGACUACCCCCUGAAUUUAAGCAUAUUAAUUAGGGGAGGAAAAGAAACUAACAAGGAUUUUCUUAGUAGCGGCGAGCGAAAAGAAAUCAGUUCAGCACUAAGUCACUUUGUCUAUAUGGCAAAUGUGAGAUGCAGUGUACGGAACAUCAACAUUCUAGUAUGAGAAGUUAACGAUUUAAGUCCUUCUUAAAUGAGGCCAUUUACCCAUAGAGGGUGCCAGGCCCGUAUAACGUUAAUGAUUACUAGAUGGUGUUUCCAAAGAGUCGUGUUGCUUGAUAGUGCAGCACUAAGUGGGUGGUAAACUCCAUCUAAAACUAAAUAUAACCAUGAGACCGAUAGUAAACAAGUACCGUGAGGGAAAGUUGAAAAGAACUCUGAAUAGAGAGUUAAAUAGUACGUGAAACUGCUUAGAGGUUAAGCCCGAUGAACCUGAAUAUCCGUUAUGGAAAAUUCAUCAUUAGAAUUGUAAUAUUUUAAACAAUAUUAUAAUAAUAGUGUGCAUUUUUUCCAUAUAAGGACAUUGUAAUCUAUUAGCAUAAAUAUUUAUCAUAAAAUUAUGUCUGAUUGCUUAUUUGAAUUAUAUGCUUGGCAUUUUAACAUAAAAUAAAAGAUAUAAAUUUGAUAAAGUGCUGAUAGAUUUAUAUGAUUACAGUGCGUUAAUUUUUCGGAAUUAUAUAAUGGCAUAAUUAUCAUUGAUAUUUGUGUUUAUUAUAUGCAUUUGUAUGAUUAACAAUGCGAAAGAUUCAGGAUACCUUCGGGACCCGUCUUGGAACACGGACCAAGGAGUCUAACAUAUGUGCAAGUUAUUGGGAUAUAAACCUAAUAGCGUAAUUAACUUGACUAUUAAUGGGAUUAGUUUUUUAACUAUUUAUAGUUAAUUAACGCAAUCCCGGGGCGCUCUAUAUAGUUAUGUAUAAUAAUAUUUAUAUUAUUUAUGCCUGUAAAUGGAACGUACCUUGAGCAUAUAUGCUGUGACCCGAAAGAUGGUGAACUAUACUUGAUCAGGUGGAAGCAGGGGAAACCU